GACAUAGGUCGCAAACGUUAUCCGGAAUUAUUGGGCGUAAAGGAUGCGUAGAUGGUUCAAUAAGUUACUGGUGGGAAAUCGAGGCUCAACCUCGUGGAAGUCAGUAAUACUGUUGAACUUGAGUGCAGGAGAGGUUAACGGAACUUUAUGUGGAGCGGUAAAAUGCGUAGAUAUAUGAAAGAACAUCAAUAUGGCGAAGGCAGUUAACUAUUCUGUUAACUGACGU
rnacentral:rRNA from 1 species